rnacentral:rRNA from 1 species
GGACUACUGGGGUUUCUAAUCCCAUUUGCUCCCCUGGCUUUCGUUCCUCAGCGUCAGUUAUGGCCCAGUAAGUCGCCUACGCCACUGGUGUUCUUUCUGAUAUCUACGCAUUUCACCGCUACACCAGAAAUUCCACUUACCUCUACCACACUCUAGUCUGCCAGUAUCCAAUGCAGUCCCGGGGUUGAGCCCCGAUAUUUAACACUAGACUUAACAAACCGCCUACGAACUCUUUACGCCCAAUAAAUCCGGACAAUGCUUGCAUCCUACGUCUUACCGCGGCGGCUGGCAC